ACAUGUAUGGUAUUUCUAAAAAUUAUGAUACUCAGGUAUUUUUGUUAUUUAACAGAAGAGAGACAGAAUGAGACAGAAGAUAAUGAUCAACUACAACACUUGCAGAACAACACAACCAUAUCUCAACAUCCAGCUCUGAUACUUACAUCCAUCUUACUGAAUGUCCUGCUCCUCAUCAUAAUAAUAGGUCUGUUGAUGCCAAGAUGUCCGAAACCAAGAAAAAGUGUAAAACCACACCCAAAUGCUGAAGUUGAGCUUGAGCAGAUUGAGGACCUGAAUACAGCUGAGUAUUCUGAAAUCCAGUUGGCCUCACAAUCUACAGAAGCUCAACUCAGCCAUAUCAACGCAACGUACGUUCUUCUAGAGAAACCAAAACCAGACGCCAGACAUAGACAAACAUGAUGAUCUUGAUGUGUGAAGUCUCACAUACUAACACAUACCGUGGGUGUUGGGUUUGAACUUGCACAAGAGAAACAUUAAUAUGCCCCACUCUGAUUCCAGUCUUACAAAGGUUAUGUUUCCGUUCUCGGUUUGCACAAAAGUGUUUUUAUAAAAUACAGAAGUUCAGCUGCCAAGCAAUGUCAGAUGCUGGUCGUAAAGGUUCCUUCAGAGGAACUUUACUUUACUUCAUGUUUUACUGCUAGUAAACAGGGCUUUGUGAUGGGCAUGUGACGCAACCACAUGAUACAAAAUGUGACCCUGACCCACGAAACCAGUCAUGAGUGUCAAAAUGCUGUAUGGUUUGUUAGGAUAGGACAAUAUUUGACCCUGAGGGUGCAAAAAAAAUAAAAUAUUGAGAAAAUCACAUUUAAAGUUGUCCAAAUGAAAAUCUUAGCAACACAUAUUACUAAUGAUAAAUGCAUUUUUUAUAUAUUUACGGUAGGAAAUGUACAAAAUAUCUACAUAGAUCAUGAUUUUUACUUAAUAUCCUAAUGAUUUUUGUUGCAAAAUUCAAUAAUUUUGACCCAUACCAUGUAUUGUAGGCUAUUGGUACAAAUAUACCCGUGUGACUUAUGACUGGUUUUGUGGUCCAGGGUUAUAAAUGUCAUUGUCAAACAAAGCAAAUAGUCGAUGAGAAAAACAUCCGUCUAGACUCUAGAUCAGGGGUGUCAAAUUCAUUUUAGGCUGAGGGCGGGAUGCUAAAUAAUGCCACGAUGUGAGGGCCGAAUACAUUUUUAAACCUUAGUAUGCUGCUAAUUGUGUUAAAAUUAACCAAACAAAUUAAAUAAUUAGCAAGAAAACUAGAAAAACACACAGCUCUGUGAAAACUACAUUUCAUAAGUCACGCUCAUACUGUACAUACUAUCAGUGUUGAGGAAAGUUACUUUUAAAAGUAAUGCUGUGUUUACAUCAGCCGCGGUAGAGGCGUCAAGCACGACUGAUUUCAAUGUUAAGUCAAGUCGCGGAUGAGGCGUUUGGUGUGGCGUGGUAGACGCAAUUCUGCCUCAUUCGCGCGUCUAGUUCGCAAAGGGUGCUUUUUGUGCAUUUUGUGUUUGAAAAAUGUGAACUUUGGCAGAUUUUCGCGCCGCGUUAACCAAUCAGGAGCCUGCUUGCUGCUGUGGCGGCAGCCCCGCCCGGAGUCACUCAUUCAACAUGAAGGCUUGAUAUUGUGCGUGAGCAGUCACCCGGAGCUAUACGACGCAAGUUCUUAUUUCUAUAGACCUCGCUUGGAAGAGUGUCAGUGAGGACAUUGGGCAACCUGGUAUACACAUUUCACUUUUGAGUCACGUGACGUUUAUCGACCCGCACCGUUUAUUUUCCCAAUAUAGUAAGGUGAAUAAAUACAAACCGGUAAGUUAACUCUCUCGAUAAAUGCACAAUCAACAUCAGCCAUCCUGCAAACAGACAACCGCAUAGCACUUGCCCCUACCACAAGACGCAUCAAAUGCUUGCUUUUCCCGCGCGUCUACUUCACUCUAGACGAGUGAAUGCAGUCAAACUGUUCAAGCAGCAAACUAGGCGCGGUAGACGCGAUUUUGACGCCUGAAAUGCAGUUGGUGUUAACACAGCAUAAUGCAUUGCAAUAUUAAGUUACUCCCCAAAAAAGUAAGUAAUUGCGUUACUUAGUUACUUUUCAUGGAAAGUAAUGCUUACCUUACUUUUGCGUUACUUUUUCUUACUUGGUAAUUAAAUUGAAAAGUAACUUACAUUACUUUUUUUUUAAAGUAACUUAAAUAUUAAUGUGUACAUUUAGGCUAUGUCCACACGAAGCCGGUGCAUUCCCUAUCCGAUAAUUUUUUUCCUUGCUCUAAAAAAAUAAUCCGUAAACACGAAACCACUGAAACCGACUGAAAGCGGUGUAGUAUAUAUGCCGGACCAGUAUGGGGUGCUGUAAUUCUGCCACAGAUAUACACUAUACACGAAGAAGAAGACUUUGAGCAUGCGCUUAACCAACGUAUGGUGUUGUCCAUUAUCGCCUGUUGGUCACCACAAUUGCAUAGAAGCAAUAGAUUUUGCUGUAAUAAAGCUAGUAGGCAUUAGUAGCUUCUGUAGCACGAACACAAUCACGUAGUCCGCUGUUAUUGUUGUUGCUGUUACGUGUGACGCUUCCGACACGUGAUGUGAUGAUGUUUUCGCUUCACAAAAUAUACGGAUUGGCUGUACAGACAAAACCGCAAGGGUGUCGGUUUCAGAUUUAUCCACUUUAGGACCCGGUUUCAAAAAAUAGCGGAUUCAGUCUCCCAAAAAGCC